ACGUAGGGCGCAGUGUUCCGGAAUUAUUGGGCGUAAAGAGCUCGUAGGCGGUUUGUCGCGUCUGCUGUGAAAGCCCGGGGCUCAACCCCGGGUCUGCAGUGGGUACGGGCAGACUAGAGUGCAGUAGGGGAGACUGGAAUUCCUGGUGUAGCGGUGAAAUGCGCAGAUAUCAGGAGGAACACCGAUGGCGAAGGCAGGUCUCUGGGCUGUUACUGACGCUGAGGAGCGAAAGCAUGGGGAGCGACAGGAUUAGAUACCCGGUGUC
rnacentral:rRNA from 1 species